rnacentral:rRNA from 1 species
UGCCAGCCGCCGCGGUAAUACGAGGGGUCCAAGCGUUGUUCGGAAUUACUGGGCGUAAAGCGCACGUAGGCGGUUUGACAAGUCGGAUGUGAAAUCCCAGGGCCCAACCCUGGAACUGCAUCCGAUACUGUCAGGCUAGAGUCCCGGAGAGGGUGGCGGAAUUCCCGGUGUAGGGGUGAAAUCCGUAGAUAUCGGGAGGAACACCAGUGGCGAAGGCGGCCACCUGGACGGUGACUGACGCUGAGACUCGAAAGCGUGGGUAGCAAACAGGAUUAGAUA